CCCUGGGUGGUGCAAAGUUAACACGCUUGGCUGGUAGCCAAAAGGCUGGAGGUUCAAGUCUACCCACAGGCA
rnacentral:tRNA from 1 species